rnacentral:rRNA from 1 species
GGAUUAGAUACCCUGGUAGUCUACGCCGUAAACGAUGGUUACUAGCUGUUCGGACUAAUUGCGGUCUGAGUGGCUAAGCGAAAGUGAUAAGUAACCCACCUGGGGAGUACGUUCGCAAGAAUGAAACUCAAAGGAAUUGACGGGGGCCCGCACAAGCGGUGGAGCAUGUGGUUUAAUUCGAUGAUACGCGAGGAACCUUACCAGGGCUUAAAUGCAGUUUGGCAGGGGUGGAAACACCUUUUUCUUCGGACAAAUUGCAAGGUGCUGCAUGGUUGUCGUCAGCUCGUGUUG